AACGCUAGCUACAGGCUUAACACAUGCAAGUCGAGGGGCAGCAUGAACUUAGCUUGCUAAGUUUGAUGGCGACCGGCGCACGGGUGAGUAACACGUAUCCAACCUGCCGAUGACUCGGGGAUAGCCUUUCGAAAGAAAGAUUAAUACCCGAUGGCAUAGUUCUUCCGCAUGGUAGAACUAUUAAAGAAUUUCGGUCAUCGAUGGGGAUGCGUUCCAUUAGGUUGUUGGCGGGGUAACGGCCCACCAAGCCUUCGAUGGAUAGGGGUUCUGAGAGGAAGGUCCCCCACAUUGGAACUGAGACACGGUCCAAACUCCUACGGGAGGCAGCAGUGAGGAAUAUUGGUCAAUGGACGAGAGUCUGAACCAGCCAAGUAGCGUGAAGGAUGACUGCCCUAUGGGUUGUAAACUUCUUUUAUACGGGAAUAAAGUGAGGCACGUGUGCCUUUUUGUAUGUACCGUAUGAAUAAGGAUCGGCUAACUCCGUGCCAGCAGCCGCGGUAAUACGGAGGAUCCGAGUGUUAUCCGGAUUUAUUGGGUUUAAAGGGAGCGUAGGCGGACGCUUAAGUCAGUUGUGAAAGUUUGCGGCUCAACCGUAAAAUUGCAGUUGAUACUGGCCUGCUUGAGUGCGGCAGAGGCAGGCGGAAUUUGUGGUGUAGCGGUGAAAUGCUUAGAUAUCACGAAGAACUCCGAUUG
rnacentral:rRNA from 1 species